rnacentral:pre_miRNA from 1 species
AACCUUCUGUAUCCGUGCUAAAAUUUCGUCACACCAUAUCACAAAGGCUGAUGAGACUCUCAAGAUAAGUGAAGCG